rnacentral:piRNA from 1 species
UAGAUUUUCCUGACUGUGCGCUCUGCUC